rnacentral:rRNA from 1 species
UCAGGAUGAACGCUGGCGGCGUGCUUAACACAUGCAAGUCGAACGAUGAUCCCAGCUUGCUGGGGGAUUAGUGGCGAACGGGUGAGUAACACGUGAGUAACCUGCCCUUAACUCUGGGAUAAGCCUGGGAAACUGGGUCUAAUACCGGAUAUGACUCCUCAUCGCAUGGUGGGGGGUGGAAAGCUUUAUUGUGGUUUUGGAUGGACUCGCGGCCUAUCAGCUUGUUGGUGAGGUAAUGGCUCACCAAGGCGACGACGGGUAGCCGGCCUGAGAGGGUGACCGGCCACACUGGGACUGAGACACGGCCCAGACUCCUACGGGAGGCAGCAGUGGGGAAUAUUGCACAAUGGGCGAAAGCCUGAUGCAGCGACGCCGCGUGAGGGAUGACGGCCUUCGGGUU